UACGAAGGGGGCGAGCGUUGUUCGGAGUUACUGGGCGUAAAGGGCGCGUAGGCGGCGAUCCAAGUUAGGCGUGAAAGCCCCGGGCUUAACCUGGGAAUUGCGCUUAAGACUGGACUGCUUGAGUGCGGGAGAGGUGAGUGGAAUUCCCAGUGUAGAGGUGAAAUUCGUAGAGAUGCGGAGGCAACACCGAUGGCGAAGGCAGCCCCCUGGGCUGACAC
rnacentral:rRNA from 1 species